AGAGGUCUUGUUCCGAGCUGUGUCAACAGCCAUGCGCCGCGAGGAUCCAUUGCUGCGGCUUAGGUCUUGAAGAAGUGCAGAGAUAGGUAGGGGACUGUGGCCCUCAGAUUCUCGGGCAUCCCUCUUGGCAGUUGCUGGAGUUUGUCAUUCCGUCAGCAUCUUCUUCCUCCCGGGUUCUGCGAGCUUCAUCAGCUCGCCUUCAUUCUCACCCGGCUCAUCUCGUUCCGCGUUCUCUCGGUCCUUGCGGCCGUUCUUGUGGCCCAGAGUUUUGUCUCCCCGUUGUGUCCUCUCGUCUGUUGUCUUGUGUGUCACGGGUGUCUGGGUGUAGUUGUCCCGGAGCUGCUCUGCCCUGCUGCCCAGCCUGGAUGUAGGUGUAAAAGGCCGAGUCCUAGGCCCCUGUAAUUUGAAAUUUGUCAUGUAGGGUGUAGUUGGAGUCUAGAGGGUGUUCCUAGAUUGACACAAGAUGUCUGGAGCUGUGAAGUUACCCUGCAGCACUUUGACUUUUGUCUCAGCUUUCUUUCAGAUGCGGACGGAUGAAAUCGGUGGCAGAGUGCCCCAUCCAGGGUAAGGGGGUUCCCGCGAGAAGGUAAGUCAAUGUUUGUCUUUGCAGGGCAACUGGAACCGGUCACUGUGUGACAGGUCUCCUCUUUGUCUUUAUUUUUAGGAAGUAGAGCCAGCUGGCAGCAGUCAAGGCGAAGUGGGCAAGGCGGUCCAGUCGCGUUUCGCUGAGACGUCCUUGCCAACCGGCCGGCACAGCUGCUUCACCGCUCCCGUGAGCCCAGCGGAAGCGUUAUGGAACCGUGUGACGGAGCCUUUUCCACGUAGAGGGGCCAUGUGGGUGGCCUUCAGGAACGGGCCGAGGGGUUGCCGUGAGUUGGGGAUGUCGGGAGGAGGAGCGAGGGUCCCUUUGAGUUUCAGCAAUGCCGCAUCACUUUGUCUUCUCUUAACUCAGGCGCGCCCUGUGACGACGGCGUCCGGCUCCCAGCGUGGCCGAAGCGCGCGGCCUCAGGAUGUGGCCGUGCGCAGGAGACCCUGACCGAGAGACGGCAGCCUGGCGAUGGCAGGAACUUCCCAGAUGGCAAGGCGGCCUUCCUUG